GACAGAGGGUGCAAACGUUGUUCGGAAUUACUGGGCGUAAAGCGCGUGUAGGCGGCCCUGUAAGUCGGGUGUGAAAUCCCACGGCUCAACCGUGGAAGUGCACUCGAAACUACAGGGCUAGAGUCCUGGAGAGGAAGGUGGAAUGCUUGGUGUAGAGGUGAAAUUCGUAGAUAUCAAGCGGAACACCGGUGGCGAAGGCGGCCUUCUGGACAGUGACUGACGCUGAGACGCGAGAGCGUGGGGAGCAAACAGG
rnacentral:rRNA from 1 species